CAGGCUCGAACGGCAUCUGACAUCCUACGAAAGUAGGCUCCCGCAAGGGCAGGUGUC
rnacentral:rRNA from 1 species